CUGGCACCGCUCCCUCCGAGCUGCGGGCAGGGCCCGGCCCUGGCAGCACAACAAGGGAAUUCUGCUUUCUCCCGAAUUCCGGGGCUGGCAGGGACAGCGCCCGGCUGUGCCGCCGCUUCGGGGACCCUCCGGCCUGGUGGCACCUCUGGGCUGCCUUUCACUGGUCCAGGGGCAACCUUGGGGCUGGGAUCCAGGCCCCGUUUCCAGAACUCCGGGAUCUGCCCCGGGAUGUGUCACGUCCGAGACCUCCAGGACUUUCGACGUGUAUCAUCCUUGGGAGCGGCUGGAGCUGAUACGGCGUCGCCUGGAGGAGGCUGUGGAUUCCUGAGUGGCCUGGCAGAUAAGAGGGAUAAAUAUCCCCUGACCCCACAGACCCCCUCAGCAGCUCCCAAAUCCCCAUGGGGGACGUGCCCUGGGGUUACUGAUUGAAGGGGAUCACUGGAAUCAGCCAUAAAACACCAUUAUUGAGCCAUAAACAGGGGAAUGCUGUUAAUUAUGCAAUUUAUUCCCUUUUAUUAGUUAAUUACCCUCCCUAACCCUGGUUUUCCCAGCAAUCCUUAGCCCCUGAUCCAUUUUUUACAUGGAUCUGUGAAGGUCAGUGAUGCCUCAAGCCCCCCCAGCAGAUUCUAACCAUCACACAACCAUCCCUUUUUCCAUAAAACCUGAACUUUUCUAUCAGCCUCCCCCCCGCCCAAAUUCAGGAUCCUUUGAGUUCUUAUGAAUGUUUAGGAAUCAGCCAGGUGGGAUUUUGUGGCAUUUUGAGCCAAAAACAGGUUUGUGAUGAUCCUGGCACUUUCUGGGACUGCCUUUCACCGCUGCAUCCUUCUCUGUUUCCCCCAUUUUUCCACAUUCUAUCCCUAAACAAAGGAAAAUCCUUUUUUAGUGUAUAUUAUUCUGUAUUGACAGCACUGAUCUAGACAACAGGGGGGGUGCAGCCAGGACUUUUUUUUAAGGGCUGGGAUAGGGAUUGCUGAUGGUGCUGCCUGGAACCUGCAGCAAUUCCCUGGGGAAAUUACAGCUGGAAUUUGGGCUGGUUGUGACUCUGGGAUAAUAACAGCAACAGGAAUUUGCCCU
rnacentral:lncRNA from 1 species